GAUGGGUUCCGAGGAUGAAUGUGCAGCAACCAAGUGAAGAAAGCUGCCAAAUCCAGGUUACUGCCCAUCAUUGUGAAGUCAAGGCAGUGUCAAACAGCAAGGCACGUCACGUCUGCGGAGAGACACAAAGUGGCUUACAAGCAUCCAUCCUCUGCCUGCUGUGGUAACAUGCAAGGAUACAUGUCCGUUGACAUUUGGAGGCGUGGUCAGAGUCAUGACAUUCCUGCUUCUGCUGCAUGCUGAGAACUUAAGAACAGGACACACUAAGCGGUGGCAGGAAAGCAACUCAAGGGUGAAAGGAUGAUUCUGACUUGGCUCAGGGUAUGGUCCAUCAUGGCAGCCAGUUCCAGCAGCAACAGCUUGAACUUCUGUUGUGUCUCCAUCAACUUUGGAAGCAGAUAGGACAAGAGCACUUUUGCAUUAUUCAGGAGGGCCGGUGAAAUCUGAGAGGAAUUGACUGACCAUAGGGUUCCACGUUUGAGCAUUGUUGCCGGACUGCAAACAUCAAGUUGGAGAAGUCAUUUGACAAACACGUUUUUUCUCCCUUUCUAUGUGUGCCUUCUGGUGCUUUUAGAACUUUUAUGCAUUUGUUGUAUGAUCUGGC